rnacentral:rRNA from 1 species
UACGUAGGGGGCGAGCGUUGUCCGGAGUUACUGGGCGUAAAGCGCACGCAGGCGGUGCUGCGCGUUCGGGGUUACAGCUCCCGGCUCAACCGGGAGAGCGCCUCGAAGACGGCAGCACUUGAGGGCCAGAGAGGGACACGGAACUCCGGGUGGAGUGGUGAAAUGCGUAGAUAUCCGGAAGAACACCAAAGGCGAAGGCAGUGUCCUGGCUGGUACCUGACGCUCGGGUGCGAAAGCUAGGGGAGCGAACGGG